rnacentral:misc_RNA from 1 species
AAGUCGUAACAAGGUUUCCGUAGGUGAACCUGCGGAAGGAUCAUUAAUACGCUUUUGUUUGUAACAAAACAAAACGUUUUAAACUCCAAAAGAAAUAGUGGAAAUAUAACUUCCGGAUGCGAAUGUUGGGGAACUGAGUAAAAUCGGUUCUUUGAAAAAGGGACUUCAAGUAAUUGACACUUCAGAGUAGAGCAGUGAGGUGAAAUUCUCGUUAAUGAGAGUUUGGUUCUGAAAAACAUUUGUAUCCGGUUAUCAUAAUCUGUUCUACAAACUCCAAAAUAUCAAACAAUAAACCCCAUGUACAACAACUUGAACUAAACAUUUUUUUUGUUGUCUGCUCGCACUUGUGUGAGAAGAUACUACAAAGAAAAAAACCUGAACUUAAGAACAACUCUUAACAACGGAUAUCUUGGUUCUC